AGUUUGAUCCUGGCUCAGGAUGAACACUGGCUCCCUGCUUAACGCAUGCCCGUCAAACCAAGCACUUUAUUUGAUUUCCUUCCGGACUGAUUAUUUUGUGACUGAGUGGCGGACGGGUGAGUAACGCGUGGGUAACCUGCCUUGUACAGGGGGAUAACAGUUGGAAACGGCUGCUAAUACCGCAUAAGCGCACAGCAUCGCAUGAUGCAGUGUGAAAAACUCCGGUGGUAUAAGAUGGACCCGCGUUGGAUUAGCUAGUUGGCGAGGUAACGGCCCACCAAGGCGACGAUCCAUAGCCGACCUGAGAGGGUGACCGGCCACAUUGGGACUGAGACACGGUCCAAACUCCUACGGGAGGCAGCAGUGGGGAAUAUUGCACAAUGGGCGAAAGCCUGAUGCAGCGACGCCGCGUGAGCGAAGAAGUAUUUCGGUAUGUAAAGCUCUAUCAGCAGGGAAGAUAAUGACGGUACCUGACUAAGAAGCACCGGCUAAAUACGUGCCAGCAGCCGCGGUAAUACGUAUGGUGCAAGCGUUAUCCGGAUUUACUGGGUGUAAAGGGAGCGCAGGCGGUGCGGCAAGUCUGAUGUGAAAGCCCGGGGCUCAACCCCGGUACUGCAUUGGAAACUGUCGUACUAGAGUGUCGGAGGGGUAAGCGGAAUUCCUAGUGUAGCGGUGAAAUGCGUAGAUAUUAGGAGGAACACCAGUGGCGAAGGCGGCUUACUGGACGAUAACUGACGCUGAGGCUCGAAAGCGUGGGGAGCAAACAGGAUUAGAUACCCUGGUAGUCCACGCCGUAAACGAUGAAUAAUAGGUGUUGGGAAGCAUCGUUUGUUGGUGCUGUCGCAAACGCAGUAAGUAUUCCACGUGGGGAGUAGGUUCGCAAGAAUGAAACUCAAAGGAAUAGACGGGGACCCGCACAAGCGGUGGAGCAUGUGGUUUAAUUCGAAGCAACGUGAAGAACCUUACCAAGUCUUGACAUCCUUGUGACCGGUACUUAACCGUACCUUCUCUUCGGAGCAGGAGUGACAGGUGGCGCAUGGUUGUAGUCAGCUCGUGUUGUGAGAUGCUGGGUUAACGUCUCGCAAUGAGAGCAACCCUUAUCUUUAGUAGCCAGCGGGUCGGCCGGCCACUCUAGAGAGAAUUCCAGGGAUAACCCGGAGGAAGGCGGGGAAGACGUCAAAUCAUGGUGCCCUUUAUGACUUGGGCUACACACGUGAUACAAUGGUUGUAAACAAAGGGAAGCAAAGCCGGAACCGGAGCAAAUCUCAAAAAUAACGUGUCAGUUAGGCAGGUAGUAUGCAACCCGACUACAAGAAGCGGGAAUCGCUAGUAAUCGCAGAUCAGAAUGAUGCGGUGAACACGUUCCCGGCUCUAGUACACACCGCCCGUCA
rnacentral:rRNA from 1 species